rnacentral:rRNA from 1 species
GGUUUGAUCAUGGCUCAGAUUGAACGCUGGCGGGAUGCUUAUGCAAGUCGAACGGCCUUCACGGACUUCGGUCUGGUGGCAGGUAGCGAUGGUGAGUAAUGUAUCGGAACGUGCCUAGUAGCGGGGGAUAACUACGCGAAAGCGCCAGCUAAUACGCCGCCCUUCGGGGGAAAGCGGGGGACCUUCGGGCCUCGCACUAUUAGAGCGGCCGAUAUCGGAUUAGCUAGUUGGUGGGAGUAACGGCUCACCAAGGCGUGAGCCAUCAGCUGGUUUGAGGACAGCAACCACACUGGGACUGAGACACGGCCCGAACUCCUACGAGGCAGCAGUGGGGAAUUUUGGACAAUGGGGGAAACCCUGAUCCAGCCAUCCCGCGUGUGCGAUGAAGCCUUCCGGAGUUCGCCAAAAGCACUUUUGGCAGGAAAGAAACGACCGGGAUAUGCCGUGCAACUGACGGUACCUGCAGAAUAAGCACCGGCUAACUACGUGCCAGCAGCCGCGGUAAUACGUAGGGUGCAAGCGUUAAUCGGAAUUACUGGGCGUAAAGCGUGCGCAGGCGGUUCCGGAAAAGAAAGAUGUAGAAAUCCAGAGCUUAACUUUGGGGAACUGCAUUUUAACUACCGAGCUAGAAGGUAUCAGGGAGGUGGAAUUCCACACGCGUGUAGCAGUGAAAUGCGUAGAUAUGCGGAGAACACCGAUGGCGAAGGCAGCCUCUGAGACAACUGACGCUCAUGCACGAAAGCGUGAGACAAACAGGAUUAGAUACCUGGUAGUCCACGCCUAAACAAUCUCGUACGCUGUUGGAGACCUUCAGACCUUGGUAAAAAUACAGCUAACGCGUGAGAUUGACCGCCUGGGGAGUACGGUCGCAAGAUUAAAACUCAAGGAAUUGACGGGGACCCGCACAAGCGGUGGAUGAUGUGGAUUAAUUCGAUGCAACGCGAAAAACCUUACCUACCCUUGACAUGUCUGGAAUCCCGAAGAGAUUUGGGUACUCGCAAAACCGGAACACAGGUGCUGCAUGGCUGUCAUCGGCUCCCGUAUCGUGAGAUGUUGAGUUAAGCCCCGCAACGAGCACAACCGCAUCGUGGUUACUACGAAAGGGCACUCUGGCGGACUGCCGGUGACAAACGGGAGGAAGGUGGGGAUGACGUCAAGUCCUCAUGGCCCUUAUGGUGAGGGCUUCACGUCAUACAAUGGUCGGGACAGAGGGUCGCCAACCCGCGAGGGGAGGCCAAUCCCAGAAACCCGAUCGUAGUCCGGAUCGCAGUCUGCAACUCAGCUGCGUGAAGUCGGAAUCGCUAGUAAUCGCGGAUCAGCAUGUCGCGGUGAAUACGUUCCCGGAGUCUUGUACACACGCCCCGUCACACCAUGGGAGUGGGUUUUACCAGAAGCCGUUUAUAGCCCUAACCGUAAGGAGGGCAGUGCAGUGAUUCGGCUGAGGUGAAGUGGCUAACAAGGU